rnacentral:rRNA from 1 species
GUUUUAGCCCCAUUCUUCUUCCUCACCCUCGUAAGACUACCCGCUGAACUUAAGCAUAUCACUAAGCGGAGGAAAA